rnacentral:rRNA from 1 species
UACGGAGGGUGCGAGCGUUGUCCGGAAUCACUGGGCGUAAAGGGCGCGUAGGCGGCCUGGCAAGUCGAUGGUGAAAGCCCGAGGCUCAACUUCGGGUCGGCCACUGAUACUGCUGGGCUUGAGUCGACUAGAGGCAGAUGGAAUUCCGGGUGUAGCGGUGGAAUGCGCAGAUAUCAGGAGGAACACCGAUAGCGAAGGCAGCUCGCUGGGACGGUACUGACGCUGAGGUGCGAAAGCGUGGGGAGCGAACAGG